rnacentral:rRNA from 1 species
UACGUAGGGUGCGAGCGUUGUCCGGAAUUACUGGGCGUAAAGAGCUCGUAGGUGGUUUGUCGCGUUGUUCGUGAAAACCGGGGGCUUAACCCUCGGCGUGCGGGCGAUACGGGCAGACUUGAGUACUGCAGGGGAGACUGGAAUUCCUGGUGUAGCGGUGGAAUGCGCAGAUAUCAGGAGGAACACCGGUGGCGAAGGCGGGUCUCUGGGAAGUAACUGACGCUGAGGAGCGAAAGCGUGGGGAGCAAACAGG